ACGAACGCUUGCGGCGUGCCUAAGAAAUGCAAGUCGAACGGGGUUAGAGCAAUCUAGCCUAGUGGCGAACGGUCGCGUAACACGUAAGCAACCUGCCCUGAAGUGGGGGACAACGAUCCGAAAGGGUCGCUAAUACCGCAUGUGGCCAUUAGAGGGCAUCCUCUGGUGUCUAAAGCUUGAUGCGCUUCAGGAUGGGCUUGCGGCCUAUCAGCUAGUUGGUGAGGUAACGGCUUACCAAGGCUUCGACGGGUAGCUGGUCUGAGAGGACGAUCAGCCGGAUUGGGACUGAGAUACGGCCCAGACUCCUACGGGGGGCAGCAAUUAGGAAUCUUGCGCAAUGGGGGCAACCCUGACGCAGCGACGUCGCGUGGAGGAUGAAGGCUCUCGGGUCGUAAACUCCUUUUGCAGGGGAAGAAGAAUGUGACGGUACCCUGCGAAUAAGCCCCGGCUAACUACGUGCCAGCAGCCGCGGUAAUACGUAGGGGGCGAGCGUUGUCCGAAGUUACUGGGCGUAAAGCGCGCGUAGGCGGUUCAUUAAGUCUGGGGUGAAAGGUUCAGCGCUCAACGCGAACAGUGCCUUGGAUACUGGUGAACUUGAGUUGGGGAGGGGGAAGUGGAAUUCCGGGUGUAGCGGUGAAAUGCGUAGAUAUCCGGAGGAACACCGAUGGCGAAGGCAGCUUCCUGGCCCACAACUGACGCUGAGGUGCGAAAGCGUGGGGAGCGAACGGGAUUAGAUACCCCGGUAGUCCACGCCGUAAACGAUGAGUGCCAGGUGUCGGGGGAAUCGACCCCCCCGGUGCCGUCGCUAACGCUUCAAGCACUCCGCCUGGGGAGUACGGCCGCAAGGUUGAAACUCAAAGGAAUUGACGGGGGCCCGCACAAGCGGUGGAGCAUGUGGAUUAAUUCGUCACUAACCGAAGAACCUUACCCAGGCUUGACAUCGAAGGCAAGCCGGUGAAAGCCGGCCCUCCCCGCAAGGGGACCUGAAGACAGGUGUUGCAUGGCUGUCGUCAGCUCGUGUCGUGAGAUGUUGGGUUAAGUCCCGCAACGAGCGCAACCCUCACCGUAUGUUGCCAGCGUAGAGUCGGGCACUCUUACGGAACUGCCCGUGCAAGCGGGAGGAAGGUGGGGACGACGUCAAGUCGGCAUGGCCCUUACGCCUGGGGCUUCACACAUGCUACAAUGGCCGGUACAGAGGGCUGCGAUACCGCAAGGUGGAGCGAAUCCCAUAAAGCCGGCCCCAGUUCGGAUCGUGGGCUGCAACUCGCCCACGUGAAGCCGGAAUCGCUAGUAACCGCAGGUCAGCUAAACUGCGGUGAAUACGUUCCCGGGCCUUGUACGCACCGCCCGUCAAGUCACCUGAAUUGUCUGCACCCGACGCCGGUGGCCCAACUCGCAAGGGGGGGAGCCGUCUAAGGUGUGGGGAGUAGGGGGGACU
rnacentral:rRNA from 1 species